rnacentral:rRNA from 1 species
AGAACUCCACGUGUAGCAGUGAAAUGCGUAGAUAUGUGGAGGAAUACCAAUGUCGAAGGCAGCCCCCUGGGAUAACACUGACGCUCAUGCACGAAAGCGUGGGGAGCAAACAGGAUUAGAUAGCCUGGUAGUCCACGCCCUAAACGAUGCUGACUAGUUGUUCGGGAUUUACAUCCUGAGUAACGUAGCGAACGCGUGAAGUCAGCCGCCUGGGGAGUACGGUCGCAAGAUUAAAACUCAAAGGAAUUGACGGGGACCCGCACAAGCGGUGGAUGAUGUGGAUUAAUUCGAUGCAACGCGAAAAACCUUACCUACCCUUGACAUGUCACUAACGAAGUAGAGAUACAUUAGGUGCUCGUAAGAGAAAGUGAACACAGGUGCUGCAUGGCUGUCGUCAGCUCGUGUCGUGAGAUGUUGGGUUAAGUCCCGCAACGAGCGCAACCCUUGUCUUUAGUUGCUACGCAAGAGCACUCUAAAGAGACUGCCGGUGACAAACCGGAGGAAGGUGGGGAUGACGUCAAGUCCUCAUGGCCCUUAUGGGUAGGGCUUCACACGUCAUACAAUGGUGCAUACAGAGGGUUGCCAACCCGCGAGGGGGAGCUAAUCUCAGAAAAUGCAUCGUAGUCCGGAUCGUAGUCUGCAACUCGACUACGUGAAGCUGGAAUCGCUAGUAAUCGCGGAUCAGAAUGUCGCGGUGAUACGUUCCCGGGUCUUGUACACACCGCCCGUCAUACCAUGGGAGUGGGUUUUGCCAGAAGCCG